rnacentral:misc_RNA from 1 species
AAGUCGUAACAAGGUUUCCGUAGGUGAACCUGCGGAAGGAUCAUUAACACGUAUCCAACGUUAAACAACCCUGUGAACUUUCAACCCCGCCGGAAUGAGAUUAAUUUCCAACUCCGGCGAAGACAAGUGACCUGGCACCUGACCUCAUCAAAGCUCUGACAGCGUGCCUCUGGAUGCUUAAUGGAAGGGUGACCACACGGCCGGCGACCGGGUCAGCGGCAUUCUUUAAUGCCCCUUAAAACCACUUAACAUGACGACAGUUCCUCUUUAACUUGAGUUGAGCUAUAACAAAAAACUAAUACAACUGUUAACAAUGGAUAUCUUGGUUCUC